rnacentral:rRNA from 1 species
UACGUAGGGAGCAAGCGUUGUCCGGAAUCAUUGGGCGUAAAGCGCGCGUAGGUGGCCUCGUAAGUCCGCUGUGAAAGUCAAAGGCUCAACCUUUGAAAGCCGGUGGAUACUGUGGGGCUAGAGUACGGAAGAGGCGAGUGGAAUUCCUGGUGUAGCGGUGGAAUGCGCAGAUAUCAGGAGGAACACCAAUAGCGAAGGCAGCCCGCUGGGACGUUACUGACACUGAGGCGCGAAAGCGUGGGGAGCGAACAGG